UUUAGGAUAAGCUAUAUAAGCUGUUGGAUUCAUAAUCCAAUUAAAGGGUAACCUUCUUAAAA
rnacentral:tRNA from 1 species